CAAGUCGUGCGAAGAGAUAAGGAGCUUGCUCCUUUGACGUUGGCGGCGGACGGGUGAGUAACACGUGGAUAACCUACCUAUAAGACUGGGAUAACUUCGGGAAACCGGAGCUAAUACCGGAUAACAUAUUGAACCGCAUGGUUCAAUAGUGAAAGGCGGCUUUGCUGUCACUUAUAGAUGGAUCCGCGCCGUAUUAGCUAGUUGGUAAGGUAACGGCUUAAACAAGGCAACGAUACGUAGCCGACCUGAGAGGGUGAUCGGCCACACUGGAACUGAGACACGGUCCAGACUCCUACGGGAGGCAGCAGUAGGGAAUCUUCCGCAAUGGGCGAAAGCCUGACGGAGCAACGCCGCGUGAGUGAUGAAGGUCUUCGGAUCGUAAAACUCUGUUAUCAGGGAAGAACAAAUGUGUAAGUAACUGUGCACAUCUUGACGGUACCUGAUCAGAAAGCCACGGCUAACUACGUGCCAGCAGCCGCGGUAAUACGUAGGUGGCAAGCGUUAUCCGGAAUUAUUGGGCGUAAAGCGCGCGUAGGCGGUUUUUUAAGUCUGAUGUGAAAGCCCACGGCUCAACCGUGGAGGGUCAUUGGAAACUGGAAAACUUGAGUGCAGAAGAGGAAAGUGGAAUUCCAUGUGUAGCGGUGAAAUGCGCAGAGAUAUGGAGGAACACCAGUGGCGAAGGCGACUUUCUGGUCUGUAACUGACGCUGAUGUGCGAAAGCGUGGGGAUCAAACAGGAUUAGAUACCCUGGUAGUCCACGCCGUAAACGAUGAGUGCUAAGUGUUAGGGGGUUUCCGCCCCUUAGUGCUGCAGCUAACGCAUUAAGCACUCCGCCUGGGGAGUACGACCGCAAGGUUGAAACUCAAGGGAAUUGACGGGGACCCGCACAAGCGGUGGAGCAUGUGGUUUAAUUCGAAGCAACGCGAAGAACCUUACCAAAUCUUGACAUCCUUUGACCGCUCUAGAGAUAGAGUCUUCCCCUUCGGGGGACAAAGUGACAGGUGGUGCAUGGUUGUCGUCAGCUCGUGUCGUGAGAUGUUGGGUUAAGUCCCGCAACGAGCGCAACCCUUAAGCUUAGUUGCCAUCAUUAAGUUGGGCACUCUAAGUUGACUGCCGGUGACAAACCGGAGGAAGGUGGGGAUGACGUCUUAAUCAUCAUGCCCCUUAUGAUUUGGGCUACACACGUGCUACAAUGGACAAUACAAAGGGCAGCUAAACCGCGAGGUCAAGCAAAUCCCAUAAAGUUGUUCUCAGUUCGGAUUGUAGUCUGCAACUCGACUACAUGAAGCUGGAAUCGCUAGUAAUCGUAGAUCAGCAUGCUACGGUGAAUACGUUCCCGGGUCUUGUACACACCGCCCGUCACACCACGAGAGUUUGUAACACCCGAAGCCCGUGAAGUAACC
rnacentral:rRNA from 1 species